GAUGAACGCUGGCGGCGUGCCUAAUACAUGCAAGUCGAGCGAACGGACGAGAAGCUUGCUUCUCUGAUGUUAGCGGCGGACGGGUGAGUAACACGUGGAUAACCUACCUAUAAGACUGGGAUAACUUCGGGAAACCGGAGCUAACACCGGAUGAUAUUUUGAACCGCAUGGUUCAAAAGUGAAAGACGGUCUUGCUGUCACUUAUAGAUGGAUCCGCGCUGCAUUAGCUAGUUGGUAAGGUAACGGCUUACCAAGGCAACGAUGCAUAGCCGACCUGAGAGGGUGAUCGGCCACACUGGAACUGAGACACGGUCCAGACUCCUACGGGAGGCAGCAGUAGGGAAUCUUCCGCAAUGGGCGAAAGCCUGACGGAGCAACGCCGCGUGAGUGAUGAAGGUCUUCGGAUCGUAAAACUCUGUUAUUAGGGAAGAACAUAUGUGUAAGUAACUGUGCACAUCUUGACGGUACCUAAUCAGAAAGCCACGGCUAACUACGUGC
rnacentral:rRNA from 1 species